UACGUAGGUGACCAGCGUUGUCCGGAUUUACUGGGCGUAAAGAGCGCGCAGGUGGUUCGUUGCGUCGUGCGUGAAAGACCCCGGCUCAACUGGGGAGUGUCGUGCGAUACGGGCGAACUGGAGGCCAGUAGGGGGAUGCGGAAUUCCGGGUGUAGUGGUGGAAUGCGUAGAGAUCCGGAGGAACACCAGCGGCGAAGGCGGCAUCCUGGACUGGUCCUGACACUCAGGAGCGAAAGCGUGGGGAGCGAUCCGG
rnacentral:rRNA from 1 species